rnacentral:rRNA from 1 species
AUUGAACGCUGGCGGCAUGCUUUACACAUGCAAGUCGAACGGUAAUAGGCCUUCGGGUGCUGACGAGUGGCGGACGGGUGAGUAAUGCAUCGGAACGUACCCAGAGGUGGGGGAUAACGCAGCGAAAGCUGUGCUAAUACCGCAUGUGAUCUGAGGAUGAAAGCGGGGGACCGAGCAGCAAUGUUUGGCCUCGCGCCUUUGGAGCGGCCGAUGUCGGAUUAGCUAGUUGGUGGGGUAAAGGCCUACCAAGGCGACGAUCCGUAGCUGGUCUGAGAGGACGACCAGCCACACUGGGACUGAGACACGGCCCAGACUCCUACGGGAGGCAGCAGUGGGGAAUUUUGGACAAUGGGCGCAAGCCUGAUCCAGCAAUGCCGCGUGCGGGAAGAAGGCCUUCGGGUUGUAAACCGCUUUUGGCAGGAACGAAACGGUGUCCGCUAAUACCGGGCGCUAAUGACGGUACCUGCAGAAUAAGCACCGGCUAACUACGUG